GACGAACGCUGGCGGCGUGCUUAACACAUGCAAGUCGAACGGAAAGGCGCUGCUUUUGUGGGGUGCUCGAGUGGCGAACGGGGGAGUAACACGUGAGUAACCUGUCCUUGACUGUGGGGUAACUUUAGGAAACUGGGGCUAAUACCGGGUAGGAGCUACUGAUGCAUGGUGGGGGUUGGAAAGUUUCGGUGGUUGGGGAUCGACUCGCGGCUUAUCAGCUUGUUGGGGGGGUAGUGGCUUACCAAGGCUUUGACGGGUAGCCGGCCUGAGAGGGUGACCGGCCACAUUGGGACUGAGAUACGGCCCAGACUCCUACGGGAGGCAGCAGUGGGGAAUAUUGCACAAUGGGCGGAAGCCUGAUGCAGCAACGCCGCGUGCGGGAUGACGGCCUUCGGGUUGUAAACCGCUUUCGCCUGUGACGAAGCGUGAGUGACGGUAAUGGGUAAAGAAGCACCGGCUAACUACGUG
rnacentral:rRNA from 1 species